rnacentral:rRNA from 1 species
UACGAAGGGGGCUAGCGUUGCUCGGAAUCACUGGGCGUAAAGCGCACGUAGGCGGCUUUUUAAGUCAGGGGUGAAAUCCUGGAGCUCAACUCCAGAACUGCCUUUGAUACUGAGAAGCUCGAGUCCGGGAGAGGUGAGUGGAACUGCGAGUGUAGAGGUGAAAUUCGUAGAUAUUCGCAAGAACACCAGCGGCGAAGGCGGCUCACUGGCCCGGUACUGACGCUGAGGUGCGAAAGCGUGGGGAGCAAACAGG